rnacentral:miRNA from 1 species
AACCUCGCCGGCCGGGAGGAUUCCCUCCAGGUCGGCGAGGUUGUACAGCCUCGCCGACCAGGAGGGAAUCCUCCUGGUCGACGAGGGU